AUGUAUAUAUUGUCUGAUGGAAUGAUUUAUAUCGAUGUGAUGUAUUUGUGACCAUUGCGCAAAGAUAUUUCACAAAGGUUUAUUAUUUACGAGAUACCCUAGGUAACGUUUAGAAAACAGAAUAUAGAAUUUUGGAAGACAAAUAGCUAGAUAGGUCAAGGAAAAGUGAUGGAACGUGAAGAUUUUUGCCUAUACAAAUUAAAUCAAAGCACGAUAUUCUGAGGGUUGUUUCUCUCCGAAAAAAUAAUGGAUUUUUUCGGCAAAAUUUUGGCUAAAAUUUUGAGUCCAAUUUUGGGUCCAAUUUUGGGUCCAAUUUUGGGUCCAAUUUUGAGUCCAAUUUUGGGCCAAUUUUGGGUCCAGUCCAUGGGUCCAGUCCAUGUUUUUGUACUAUGCCCGUGUAGGUCAUACACGUUUGUUAUCAUCUUGUAACAAGGUUGAUGAGGCCAACAGACUCGCAACAAGUUGUUCCAACAACUCUGAUAUCGUCUGCACGUAACAAGUUGCUGACAAGUUGAUGACAACAAGCUUGUAGCAACUUGUUACGAACAGCCUGUGUUAGUCUUGUUGGAACAACUUGUAGCAACUCUGUUACCGUCAAUAACAACUUGCUGCAGACUUGUCACAACAACUGGGACCAAGCAGUAUACGAGCACAUCCUGAUAUCGACUUGACAAUAACCUUGUUACAACUUGUUUGCAGACUAUAAUAAUAAUAAAAUUAUUGAAUAUCAGUUAACCCUCUAGCAACGUGCGCGAUUUUUACGUGUACGAUGACGAAUAUCCGCCAUUUUUGGGUAGCAUAUAUCUAAUUCUCGUUAACCAAUGCAGACAAUUAAAACAAUGUGAAAAGCAAUUUUUCAAAAUAAACUAAUCAUUUGCAAAGCAAAUGUACCUCGUCAAAAAAAUUAUAAAAAGUCGCUGUUAUGUGGACUUAUCUCACAGACUUCGGCUGAAAUGCCACCCAAAAAUGGCGGCGUGAGAAAGGCUAAAUGACACACAAUGCAAUAAUAACUAUAUCCAGGGACGCCGGAACGAUCAUAAGGCAAAGGGGGGCGGACCCACAGCAAGGGCACUUCUCUAAAGCAAAACUUCAAAAUCUUCCGAAAUUUUUUUUUUUUCCAAAAAAUUUCGGCGACCUCCCCCCCCCC